rnacentral:rRNA from 1 species
GCGGCGGACGGGUGAGUAAUGCCUAGGAAUCUGCCCGAUAGUGGGGGACAACGUUUCGAAAGGAACGCUAAUACCGCAUACGUCCUACGGGAGAAAGCAGGGGGCCUUCGGGCCUUGCGCUAUCGGAUGAGCCUAGGUCGGAUUAGCUAGUUGGUGGGGUAAAGGCUCACCAAGGCGACGAUCCGUAACUGGUCUGAGAGGAUGAUCAGUCACACUGGAACUGAGACACGGUCCAGACACCUACGGGAGGCAGCAGUGGGGAAUAUUGGACAAUGGGCGAAAGCCUGAUCCAGCCAUGCCGCGUGUGUGAAGAAGGUCUUCGGAUUGUAAAGCACUUUAAGCUGGGAGGAAGGGCAGUAAGCUAAUACCUUGCUGUUUUGACGUUACCAGCAGAAUAAGCACCGGCUAACUUCGUGCCAGCAGCCGCGGUAAUACGAAGGGUGCAAGCGUUAAUCGGAAUUACUGGGCGUAAAGCGCGCGUAGGUGGUUCAGCAAGUUGGAUGUGAAAGCCCCGGGCUCAACCUGGGAACUGCAUCCAAAACUACUGAGCUAGAGUACGGUAGAGGGUGGUGGAAUUUCCUGUGUAGCGGUGAAAUGCGUAGAUAUAGGAAGGAACACCAGUGGCGAAGGCGACCACCUGGACUGAUACUGACACUGAGGUGCGAAAGCGUGGGGAGCAAACAGGAUUAGAUACCCUGGUAGUCCACGCCGUAAACGAUGUCAACUAGCUGUUGGGUUCCUUGAGAACUUAGUAGCGAAGCUAACGCGAUAAGUUGACCGCCUGGGGAGUACGGCCGCAAGGUUAAAACUCAAAUGAAUUGACGGGGGCCCGCACAAGCGGUGGAGCAUGUGGUUUAAUUCGA